rnacentral:rRNA from 1 species
UGGGGAAUAUUGGACAAUGGGCGAAAGCCUGAUCCAGCCAUGCCGCGUGUGUGAAGAAGGUCUUCGGAUUGUAAAGCACUUUAAGUUGGGAGGAAGGGCAGUAAAUUAAUACUUUGCAGUUUUGACGUUACCGACAGAAUAAGCACCGGCUAACUCUGUGCCAGCAGCCGCGGUAAUACAGAGGGUGCAAGCGUUAAUCGGAAUUACUGGGCGUAAAGCGCGCGUAGGUGGUUCGUUAAGUUGGAUGUGAAAGCCCCGGGCUCAACCGUGGAACUGCAUUCAAAACUGACGAGCUAGAGUAUGGUAGAGGGUGGUGGAAUUGCCUGUGUAGCGGUGAAAUUCGUAGAUAUAGGAAGGAACACCAGUGGCGAAGGCGACCACCUGGAUUGAUACUGACACUGAGGUGCGAAAGCGUGGGGAGCAAACA